UGUCGGUAGACUAGACGUAGCAUGACUCUGUAUUAUUUAUUCAUGUUUUUUAAUCCAAUACUUUUACAGGUACACAAGAUGGGUAACCGGGGGGAAAUUGGCAAACGUGGCACGCGAAAGCACAAAAUGAGAGGGAAAGUGCAAAAUGAAACCGAGAAGGAAGAAAGCAACGAAAUUUUUGCUGGGGAGAGCUGGAUCGCCUGGAAAACAAUCCAAUCCAACAGAAGAAAGCCACCGAAUCUGAGCCGGUGGUAGUCUUUGUCAGUGGCCGAAGCUGCGCCAGUGGUCGUCGUCAUGUCGUCGUGGUGGUUAAGCUGUUUAUAAGCAGGGAGAUGAAGGAGAUAAACCAACUGUGAAGACUUGUUGGAAUUUAUUUGCCACUUCAGAGAUAGAUAUGACCAAUAUUAGUGGCAUGCAGCCUAUUCCAGACAAUCCAACAUUUGACAUUAGUGGAACCUAGCUCUGAGAAAUAAUGACCAAGAGUCAAGAAAAUAUACAAUUUGGAUGAAUUACAAUUGGUGCAACUUGGAUUCGUGGACAGACAACCGGCACAAUGAAGUUUGUGUAUUGAAUGUAAUUCAUGAUAGCAGGUAGAUCUGUGUUUUUUUGUUUUAUGUAUUUGGAACAAAUGACUAUGAAGACAAUGCAUUGGAUGGCUUUUUAUUUUUGGAUGGUAUGAAAUUUUUGGAUGGAUAGUUUUAUUUUUGGAUGGUAUGAAGUUUUUGAAUGGAUAGUUUUUUAUUUUUUGAUGGUAUGAAGUUUUUGGAUGGGCUUUUUUUUUUUUUUGAUGGUAUGAAAGUUUUGGAUGAUGGAUGUGGAAUCAUUAAUUUAGUGGUCAAUGAAUAUUUGUUGUAGGUGUAUGAUAGCUUAUUCGGUGAGAAGGCUGGUGCUUUGUGACAGCUUCUUCAUCUGCACCUCUUGUAUUGUGCUUAUUUUCUUAGUGUUUAUGACAGCUUAUUCCAGUUCCUUGUCAUCACUACUAAUGGCAGGGGAACCAAAUCCAUGUUCCGGCACCCAUUGCUCAAGCUCUUAAAUUGUCAAUGCAUUGAUCCAUCAAAAAAUAAAGAAUGAAAAAGAACUCAGCUAGCUACCACAUAGCAUCAUUUUCAUUUGUCAGAAUUGUUGAUUGGAAUACAGGACUGAAUAUUGGUUGAUUAAUUAUAUGUCUUGAAUGAUUCAUUUGCUGGAUAUUGAGGGAAUGUUGAAUUUGUGUUAUUAAUUGAACAAUUUGUGGAACUUUGGACAUCGCAUC